UAAUAAUCUCCAGAGAGCCCAGCCAUGACAGUACCACGUAUUUUGGGUUUUUUGCUGGUCUUAAUCGUUCAGUAUACGCCUUUGCUAUUCUGGGCGUAAUUUCCCUGAUAAUUGUUAUAAUUGGAGGAUGGGCACUAUGGAAGCACAUCC